UACGAAGGGGGCUAGCGUUGCUCGGAUUGACUGGGCGUAAAGGGCGCGUAGGCGGUUCGUACAGUCAGACGUGAAAUUCCUGGGCUCAACCUGGGGGCUGCGUUUGAUACGUGCGGACUUGAGUGCGGAAGAGGGUAGUGGAAUUCCCAGUGUAGAGGUGAAAUUCGUAGAUAUUGGGAAGAACACCGGUGGCGAAGGCGGCGACCUGGUCCGUGACUGACGCUGAGGCGCGAAAGCGUGGGGAGCAAACAGG
rnacentral:rRNA from 1 species